AUGGCCACCUGCCUCUCUGAUCUGGUUAGUGACCAUUCCCUGGACUUUAUUGGAUUGCAAGAGACUAUGAAAAAAGAUUUCACUCCUACAUGUCUCAGGAAAAUUGACCCUUUUGGCCUGUUUCAUUGGGAGUGAAUCCCAUCUAUAGGAAAAUCGGGUGGCAUCCUAGGGGGAACUAGACUGGACACUAUGGACCUUGUUUCCUGCUGCAAAGGUAAAUAUAUCUUGUAGUUAAUAAUCCAUGAUAAGAAAAAAAAGUGGGGGCUGCGUGUGGCAUAUGGCUCAGCACAUGAGGAAUAUAAAGAGGAAUUUUUAGUGGAGUUGGCUGCUAUGUGUGGCAACAUGAAUAUACCCUAUAUUGUAGGGAGAGACUUUAAUAUCCUUAGACAUGAGAACAAAAAGAAUAAGAAGAUGAGUCACAAUAGAUCGACAGAUCUUUUUAACUCCAUCAUCAAUACUCUAGCUUUGAGAGAGAUCCACAUCAGUGGGGGGAGAUACACUUGGUCGAAUAACUAAGCCCACCCAACUUUGGAGAAACUUGACCGUAUCAUGAUGUCUGAGAGCUGGGAAGAGCUUUUUCCAUUAGUGUCUGUUAGAAAACUGGUCCGAGAGAUCUCAGACCAUAACCCUCUCCUGCUUUCAUCC
rnacentral:rRNA from 1 species